AACGAACGCUGGCGGCAGGCCUAACACAUGCAAGUCGAGCGAGGACUUCGGACCUAGCGGCGGACGGGUGAGUAACGCGUGGGAACGUGCCCUUUGCUUCGGAAUAGCCCUGGGAAACUGGGAGUAAUACCGGAUGAGCCCUUUGGGGGAAAGAUUUAUCGGCGAAGGAUCGGCCCGCGUUGGAUUAGGUAGUUGGUGGGGUAAUGGCCUACCAAGCCGACGAUCCAUAGCUGGUUUGAGAGGAUGAUCAGCCACACUGGGACUGAGACACGGCCCAGACUCCUACGGGAGGCAGCAGUGGGGAAUCUUAGACAAUGGGGGAAACCCUGAUCUAGCCAUGCCGCGUGAGCGAUGAAGGCCUUAGGGUUGUAAAGCUCUUUCAGCUGGGAAGAUAAUGACGGUACCAGCAGAAGAAGCCCCGGCUAACUCCGUG
rnacentral:rRNA from 1 species